UUGACCUCAAAUCGGGUGAGACUACCCGCUGAACUUAAGCAUAUCAAUAAGCGGAGGAAAAGAAACUAACAAGGAUUCCCCUAGUAACUGCGAGUGAAGCGGGAAAAGCUCAAAUUUAAAAUCUGGCAGCCUUUGGCCGUCCGAGUUGUAAUUUAGAGAAGCGUCUUCCGCGCUGGACCGUGCACAAGUCUCCUGGAAUGGAGCGUCAUAGAGGGUGAGAAUCCCGUCUUUGGCAUGGAUGCCUGGUGCUUCUGUGAUGCGCUCUCGAAGAGUCGAGUUGUUUGGGAAUGCAGCUCAAAAUGGGUGGUGAACUCCAUCUAAAGCUAAAUAUUGGCGAGAGACCGAUAGCGAACAAGUACCGUGAGGGAAAGAUGAAAAGCACUUUGGAAAGAGAGUGAAACAGUACGUGAAAUUGUUGAAAGGGAAACGCUUGAAGUCAGUCGCGUCGACCGAGACUCAGCCUUGCCUUGGCUUGGUGUACUUCUCGGCCCGACGGGUCAGCAUCAAUUUUGCCCUUUGGAUAAUGGCGGGGGAAAGGUGGCACCUUUACGGGUGUGUUAUAGUCUCCUGUCGCAUGCGAGGGGUGGGAUUGAGGAACUCAGCGCGCACCUCAGUGUCGGGGCUUCGGCUCACGUCACGCGCUUAGGAUGCUGGCGUAAUGGCUUUAAACGACCCGUCUUGA
rnacentral:rRNA from 1 species